rnacentral:rRNA from 1 species
UACGGGGGGGGCAAGCGUUGUUCGGAUUUACUGGGCGUAAAGGGCGCGUAGGCGGUCAGCACAAGUCAGUUGUGAAAUCUCCGGGCUUAACUCGGAACGGUCAACUGAUACUGUGCGACUAGAGUGCAGAAGGGGCAACUGGAAUUCUCGGUGUAGCGGUGAAAUGCGUAGAUAUCGAGAGGAACACCGGUGGCGAAGGCGGCCUUCUGGACAGCAACUGACGCUGAGACGCGAAAGCGUGGGGAGCAAACAGG